GUGAGCAGCCACAGUAGUGGACAUGCCCCUACUCGCAGUAUAGCGAGUAGGGGCAUUGGGGAGAUUUUAAUCUCCCUUGUGCUAUUGUGGGGGUCAUAUUGACCCCCAUAGCGUGAGGGAGGACAGGGGGGCUUAUGAAGUGGUGGGGAGCACUGCUCCCUGCCGCUUCUAUAGUUACAUAUUACAAGGAGGGAGCUGCGUGCCGGUAACUCCCUCCUUGUAAUAAACUGAUCAAACAAACGAACACUGAUACUCAGAUACACUGAUACAGUGUUUGUUU